GCGGGUUGCGCGCAGACACUCGUAUUCAGAAAUCCGACACGUACGAGUAAAACAAACUCUAAAUAUAAGAGUAAUAAGCAGAAUAACAUACAACAGACCCAUAAAUAGCUAACAUAGAAUAAAUUUAGAUCCACUUGUGAUGGAAUCUGCUGCUGUGAACUUUAGAUUCUCCUGCACAAGCUGGAAACUCUGAAGUGAAAUACCUGUGUAAAAAUAGCCCGCGGGAGCGCGUCUGCUCGCCGUGUCUGAUGGUCCGGAUCCUCCGUGAUCUGCUGCCGUUAACCGGAGGUGUGUGUGUGUGUAUCGGAUGAGCUGAUGAUGGGUGAAGCGUUCACACACACUCAGCGCUGCGGGAAACAUCUGCGACUGCUGCUCUUCAUCCUGCUGC
ensembl:processed_transcript